ACAGACAUCCUUUUGGCUGAGUUCUGCUGCCUGAAAACUUCUGUCAAAACACAGAAUCGUUUCUGGAAGUGAGACGAUUGAACUGGUUUCUUGCCAACAGGUGUCCCAGAAGGAGCGUUCGCAGCUCCCUGGAGGCGGGAACGGAGUCCCCCGGGGAGAGAGUGGUCCAGGGUUUGCCCUCAGGCGUCCACACUGUCCGCCGGCGAGGCUGGUCCUGUUCCCAGCACCCACGCUGCUAGAGCCACCGGAUCUCCCAGGAGGAGACCCAGCUGCACUCAGAAGAAUCACGCUGGCCUAGGAGAUGGACGGCGGCGUGCGGGCAGGACCGUGUGCGGCUGCAAAGCUGAGCUGUCGUCUUGCCUGUGGCUUCCGAAAUGCAGCCCUGGGCCCUGUGAUCGCUGCAUUUUCUCUGCGCAGCUUUGAGGGACGGAGUGUGCUGACCAACAGAAGAAAGGCAAACAGCAGAAACUGACACUGUGGUGGCCACUGGACGUGGCCUCGGUCGGCUGCGGAGAGAGAAUUUAUUUCCACAGCGACCCUCAGGAGGCGCAGCCAUGCGCACGCUGGCUGGGAGACCACGGCGC
rnacentral:lncRNA from 1 species